rnacentral:rRNA from 1 species
CCUACGGGCGGCAGCAGUGGGGAAUAUUGGACAAUGGGCGAAAGCCUGAUCCAGCCAUGCCGCGUGUGUGAAGAAGGCCUUCGGGUUGUAAAGCACUUUCAGUGGGGGAGAAAGCCUUGGGGCUAAUACCCUCGAGGAAGGACAUCACCCACAGAAGAAGCACCGGCUAACUCCGUGCCAGCAGCCGCGGUAAUACGGAGGGUGCGAGCGUUAAUCGGAAUUACUGGGCGUAAAGCGCGCGUAGGCGGUCUGAUAAGCCGGUUGUGAAAGCCCCGGGCUCAACCUGGGAACGGCAUCCGGAACUGUCAGGCUAGAGUGCAGGAGAGGAAGGUAGAAUUCCCGGUGUAGCGGUGAAAUGCGUAGAGAUCGGGGGGAAUACCAGUGGCGAAGGCGGCCUUCUGGACUGACACUGACGCUGAGGUGCGAAAGCGUGGGUAGCAAACAGGAUUAGAUACCCUGGUAGUC